rnacentral:rRNA from 1 species
AAUAGAUACCCCGGUAGUCCACGCCCUAAACGAUGCGAACUGGAUGUUGGUCUCAACUCGGAGAUCAGUGUCGAAGCAAACGCGUUAAGUUCGCCGCCUGGGGAGUACGGUCGCAAGACUGAAACUCAAAGGAAUUGACGGGGGCCCGCACAAGCGGUGGAGUAUGUGGUUUAAUUCGAUGCAACGCGAAGAACCUUACCUGGCCUUGACAUGUCCGGAAUCCUGCAGAGAUGCGGGAGUGCCUUCGGGAAUCGGAACACAGGUGCUGCAUGGCUGUCGUCAGCUCGUGUCGUGAGAUGUUGGGUUAAGUCCCGCAACGAGCGCAACCCUUGUCCUUAGUUGCCAGCGAGUAAAGUCGGGAACUCUAAGGAGACUGCCGGUGACAAACCGGAGGAAGGUGGGGAUGACGUCAAGUCCUCAUGGCCCUUACGGCCAGGGGCUACACACGUACUACAAUGGUCGGUACAGAGGGUUGCAAUACCGCGAGGUGGAGCCAAUCCCAGAAAGCCGAUCCCAGUCCGGAUUGGAGU